GAUGAACGCUGGCGGCGUGCCUAAUACAUGCAAGUCGAGCGAACAGAUGAGGAGCUUGCUCCUCUGACGUUAGCGGCGGACGGGUGAGUAACACGUGGAUAACCUACCUAUAAGACUGGGAUAACUUCGGGAAACCGGAGCUAAUACCGGAUAAUAUAUUGAACCGCAUGGUUCAAUAGUGAAAGACGGUUUUGCUGUCACUUAUAGAUGGAUCCGCGCCGCAUUAGCUAGUUGGUAAGGUAACGGCUUACCAAGGCAACGAUGCGUAGCCGACCUGAGAGGGUGAUCGGCCACACUGGAACUGAGACACGGUCCAGACUCCUACGGGAGGCAGCAGUAGGGAAUCUUCCGCAAUGGGCGAAAGCUUGACGGAGUAACGCCGCGUGAGUGAUGAAGGUCUUCGGAUCGUAAAACUCUGUUAUUAGGGAAGAACAAAUGUGUAAGUAACUAUGCACGUCUUGACGGUACCUAAUCAGAAAGCCACGGCUAACUACGUG
rnacentral:rRNA from 1 species